GAAGGUAAGGAAGUAAUUAUAGGAGAGAGCUACAGCGGAUGCGAUUGCAAGUACGGUAAUGAGAUGCAAGAACUCGGCUUUUUAAGGGAAUAAGCUUUGGGGUGGUUCGAGUAUGGAGUUCAGUGAAGGAUUUUUUGAAUAUGAAUUAUGCUUGGAUUUUGGACCCUUUUUGGGUGUUGAAGGCAUUUUCUUUUUUUCUUUUUCUGAAGGUUAGAUCAAUA
rnacentral:lncRNA from 1 species